rnacentral:rRNA from 1 species
UACGAAGGGUGCAAGCGUUAAUCGGAAUUACUGGGCGUAAAGCGUGCGCAGGCGGCUUUCCAAGUCAGUGGUGAAAGCCCGGAGCUCAACUCCGGAAAUGCCAUUGAAACUGUGAAGCUUGAGAACGAGAGAGGUGAGUGGAAUUCCCAGUGUAGAGGUGAAAAUUCGUAGAUAUUUGGGAAGAACACCAGUGGCGAAGGCGGCUCACUGGCUCGUAACUGACGCUCAUGCACGCAGCGUGGGGGAUCAAACAGG